CUCGAAAAUAAAGUCUCAAACGAAAAAUUUUUAUUCUAUAUUUUCGACUUCUUUUUUCGCGUAGAAUCACCACCUUUCCGCUUGUACCACUAGUUACCAACUACCUUGUAUAUCCAAAGUAUUCUUUAUAGUAUUUAUUAGAUAAUACAGAUUUCUAUACAGAUUUCACUCCUGUAGCAGUAUUCACAAAAAUAUCAAUCCGCUUAAAUACCUGCAGUGUAAUGGUAUGCAUAGUAAUAAAAAGUAAAAGAUAAUUUACAAUAUACUAUACCAAAUUCAAUAUCGAAUAAAGUAAUAGAUAAACUUACAGUUUGUUUGUAUAAACAUUGGAUAAAUUUUCCUAUCGUUUCGAUCUCUAGUGUAGUAGGAGUAAACAGAGUCCUAUUGAACAGUAUCUGUUUCGUCUGUUUGUUUGAGUCUGCUGUAGUAAAGUUAAAUAAUUGUUGGUCAGUUCAAUAAGUUCAAGUUGGUAGUUAGGCUAUUUCAAUGAUUUUCUAGUCGAUAGUCUUUCCUUAUAUUUGUUUGCAAAGCGUUCUAUUUCUUCUUUGUCUGUUUUAAUACCUAAAUUUUUUCUGAGCUCAUCAUUACGAACAUACCACGGAGGUUCAUAAUUGCGCGAAAUAUUAUCGACUAUAUCGUGUUUUCAUAAUUAUCACCUGCUAUUCCGCAUAGUUUAGUUACCAGUUAGGUCCAGAUGGGUUUUAUGAUAACUUUGUAUAUUAAUAACUUGUUUCCAAUUCAGAAUUUCGCUGCGGGUGUCUUUCUGUCCAAUACAUGUGUAUUCUUCUUGUUUUUAUUUACUCUAUCUUUUUCUUGUAUAAGGUAUUUCUAUAUCAACCUCUUGUCUAGGUAUCUUCCGAGAUAUUUUACUACUUUCGAUUUUGGUAUCUUUUAUCUUCUAUUUCUUCUAUUUCUUUUUAAAAUACUCUCAUGUCCUAUCCAGUGUUUCUUGAAGUAUUUUUGAUGAUCUUAUUGCGUUUUCGUGGAUCGCUAAAAUGGCCGUAUCAUUAGCAAAUGUUAAAUGUUUUGGAGAUAGUAGGCAUAUCUGCAAUAUAGGUGGUACAUAGAGUUGGUUUUAGCAAAACUGGGUCGAGGAACCCCUGCGUUUGCCUUGAAGAUAUUAGAGAUUUCCCCUUGAAUUUUUAUUAUGAAGCUUCUGUUGAAUAAGUACGAUUUCAGUAGGUAGUAGUUAGCUUCUGUUUUUGUAUAAUGUUUUGCGUAAUAAAUCAUGAUGCUAGACUUUAUAGAAAGUUUUUUUCGAUGUCAAGAAAUGCUGCUGUACAAUACAUUUUAUUCUCGCGGCCUGCCAAAACUGUGCACUUAUUCAGUUUUAACGUGUUUGCUUCGGAAGCCAAAUUGGUGGCUAGGUUUCUUUUUUGAAUUUUUUCUAGAAUUUUGUAUAUGGUUGGUAGGAGCGAAAUUAAUCUAUAUGAUGUGACUUGAUGUGAGUCUUUUUCAGGUUUUUGUAGCAAUAAGAUUUGAGCUGUUUUCCACCGUCUUAGGAAAUACUUCAGUAUAUAAUAAUUUAAAAGAUAAACAUAAAAACAUCUGUGCAUACAUGUAGCACUUUUACAAAAAUAUAAUCUUGCUUCUUUAUGCGAAGUAUAUCAAUAAAUAUCAUACUAGCUAUAUAAAAAGGAAUUAGAAAAGAAAAUGAAAUUAUUUUACAUUUGGCUGUAAAAAUGGCGAGACAUGUUUUUCUCAAUAAACAAUUUUGUAAUGACAAGUAGCUCUGUAAAAAGAGAGCUUGAUAAAUUUUGUUCCUUAAAACAAUUUUAACAUAUAAAAUAUUUAUACAUGUAUAAUAGAAUUCUAAAAUAUAACAUUUUUAUAUAAUGCAAAAAUACGAAUGUACUAAAAUUUUGCGAAUGAUAUAUAUUAGUAUCAUUAUAUUCUAAAUAACACAAACUAAUUUUAAGUGAAAGUACCCAAUUUUGAGAAACUCCAGAUACAUUCAUCGAGAAAUACCGCUUUAACAUUUUUCUUUUGUCUAUAUUGAUUGAUUUCCGUCAGGUCCUAUGAUAGAAUUUAAUCAAACAUUAGCCUGAUACGUUUUAUUGGAUCCCAUCCUAUCGUCUAUCUAACGUUAUGGAAAAAGCUAUAGAGCUACGGGGAGCUUACUGGAGAUGAAAACAUCGCCGACACCACGCAUGGGACUGGAAACAACGAUGGCAGGAUAUUACUUGAAUAAGAAGGAAGAAAAGGACAAACCGGUCCAGACACUGCCAAGCUUGGAAAAAUUCAACGUCGAACAACUUUUCUAUUUAUCCCUUGUCCUCAUCAACUUCGUGAUCGAUCGGUGACAAUAUCUUCACAAAACGACACUGAGCACACUGAGUAGCGGCGACAGCAAUAGGCAGCAUGUGGCUCGAAUAUCCGUAACUUGGACCAGGAAGUUCUUCUGCACGUGGCAUACUCUUCAGAUUUAGCACCGAGAAAUUAUCACUUAUUCAAGUCGUAGGACUGCAGCACUCAUUAGCUAGGCAGCACUUUCAAAAUGUUGCAGAAAUAUAAUAAUGUCCAGUAUCAGCUUUUCGUGACCGAAUCCGAAAUUUGACAGAUCUGUUAUAAACUUUAUCAAUAUAUAUGCACAAUCAUGGUAACGAGUCUCGUAACAGUGCUAAUGGAAUUUUAAAAUGUUUCGUGUAACAUAUGAUGUAUUCAUAAAAGAUGUCUAUAUGCGAUCGAAUACUUCCAUGAGACUGUGUAUAUUUCCAAGGACUAAAAACAGUCAAACCAAAGUUGAGUGUACAUGCACCUUUUAAUUCCAUGAUUAGAGUUUUUUUGUUAAGAAAUGACCCGAAUACUUCCAUAAGCCUGUGUAUAUUUUCAAGGACUAAAAGCAAUCAAACCAAAGUUGAGUGUACAUGCACCUUUUAAUUCCAUGAUUAUAGUUUUCUUGUUAAGAAAUGACCCAGUUAACAGAUUAAUGGUUGUUUUUAAUAGCACUUUUUUGAACUUGAAAAAUUUCGACAAGAAUUUAACUAUACCGUAGGGAUAGAGCUCAAUGAAUUCGAAGAACAAUAGCUGGAAUUAAUUCGUUGUCACGAAUGAAUUUUAUUGGAUGACUCACAGUAGCACUAACACGUUCUUGGCUAGCAGAAUUAUUUCGCACUCGAUCAAUACCACCGAAUUAUCAGUUUUUCAAAUUACUGAAGUCGUCACUUUUUUAGUUUAUUAAUAUUUUCAUAAUAUACUUCACAAUAUUAUUAGUAUAGUCUUCGUUAUAUUAUGUUGUAUUAUCCAUAUAUAUAUUUUUUUUAAGAAUUUAUUUUGUGAAGUAUUCUAUGAUAUUAUAUUUUUUGUAUUUAUAAACAAAACAUACUUUUGUCCUCAAAAAGUAAAAUACUUUUAAUCACUAAAGCAUGUAUUCGUUAUUAAUGUCGAUAACUUUCAGUUUUUGGUCGUUUCAAUUAUUAUAACUCUUGUUAUAAUUUGGAUAUCAAACUUUUUAUAGCCAACAUGUGAAAAUCAACUAAUUAUUAGUUCAAUAAAAUAAUUGUUGAGUAAAUAUUAUGUAAUAGAGAAAGAUACUAUGAAUUUUGAUAAAUAUUCGUGUCAAUGAAAUUUGGCAAUAUUUUUAUUCCCUCUAUAGUGGGUGCAGAAUCAUAAUUAGUUUAUUUUCAAAUUUUAUGAUUGGAUGCAAUUUAUUACCAAAGAUAUAUAACGAAUAAUUCAUUUAUUAGGUUGUUAAAAAAAAUUAUAUUCUUUUCACAAUUACUUUAAAGAAUUUAUAAUUACUUCGCUUUCAAACUAAAUAACUGGAUAAUGUUUAUUGUUAAUUUAUUUAUACAAAAUUUAUAACAAAAUAUUCACUAACACCAAGAUUAUGGCAAUUAAUUUAUUCUCACAUUUAAUGAGUGAUUAAAAUUUAUCAAAAAUUUAUGUAAGAUUGGAAUUGACUUACAAACUAUUUAAUAAGAAAAAUUUUUUGAUUACAAUGACGUUCUGAUUAGUCGUCCCAAGGCUCCUUUUAAAAAAUUGCCAAAUCCUUCAGACCGGUAAAUUUUAUUUCUCAACAAUGGAGCUAAAAAUAUUAUUUCUUUCCUUGGUGUAUCCUGUCAGUUCCUUUCAUAAAAGUACAUAUCGAUUUUAGAGUUUCCUCACAUAGUUGCCCUCGAGAAUACUCUCAAAUUAUGUGUCCACUUGGGAGCAAGUUCGAAAAUUUUAACUUUCAGGGCGCAUGUCCACUAGCAAGUAAGUAAUUCGCGACGUUUUUUGCCAGAGCGAUUCUCGUGACGUGUGUAAAGUUGUGAACAUAUCUGAGACAGUGGCCGAUAUUCAUUAGAAAUCACAGAUAAAACUUAAAAAAACAACAGAUACAAUUAAAACAAUAUAUCGAUUAAACAUUUAUCAUUAGAAUUAAGUAAAAAAACACUUGUCUUAAAUUCCACUUCAAAUAAGCGAUUUUUACUUUUAUACUGAUGAUGAAACAUUCGGAAAUUCUGACUUUUAUAAUCGAUAUGUGUCUUUCCUUAUAUUUGUUGAAUUUUUAAGAUAUUUAUCUAAAUUAUACUGCGUAUAGCAAAACUAACUUUCAGAUAUGUAUCUUCCAGUGUCUCAAAAAGAGGCUUAAAUCAUUCUAGAGUUAUCCGGGCAAUCGUAUACGCGGCAAUACGAAAUAGAUAUACAAGAGAAUGAUACGAAUUCCUAUUAUAAUUAACCUGUGGAUUUAUUAUAAAUAAUAUUGUAUAUGACGGAGAUGAGAGAACAUCGGUGCCUUUAUUUUGGAAUUUUUGGGCAGAUUCCCAAUACUUUAGUCUAGACUAUUUAUUACAGCUAUACUUAAAUGAUAAAACUUAGAAAUAGUUGUUAUGAUUCAAUCCUAUUAUGUUUGCCCGAGAUUUGUGACAGUGGGCUUGGGCUCGAGGUGACACAACUGAUCGCCGAACGUAGCCACGGUCACGGGAUGAACGUUUUUACAUAACAGAGAAAUGCCAAUAUUGUGGGACACGUUGUAUUAACAAUCAAACCCCGGGCAGGAGCAAUGUCAGCACUACGCGGGUCUGUCUAGCAACGGCGGCUGGAAUUUUGUUGAUAUCCCCAGCCAAUAUGCAACGAACAAACGCGAUCGUAAGGAGAGGAAAAUUCCCAUCAGUCUUUUAUUCUAGCGAUCACCUUGGCGAGUUUUGCACAUUGUCUUUACGUGCAGUAUUAUACCGAGCGUCACAGCAAACGUUACUUUGUGCUUCAAAAUAUAUUCUACGUUUAACAGAGAG